GACCUUGAAAUACCACCCUUUAAUGUUUGAUGUUCUAACGUGGACCCGUAAUCCGGGUUGCGGACAGUGUCUGGUGGGUAGUUUGACUGGGGCGGUCUCCUCCUAAAGAGUAACGGAGGAGCACGAAGGUUGGCUAAUCCUGGUCGGACAUCAGGAGGUUAGUGCAAUGGCAUAAGCCAGCUUGACUGCGAGCGUGACGGCGCGAGCAGGUGCGAAAGCAGGUCAUAGUGAUCCGGUGGUUCUGAAUGGAAGGGCCAUCGCUCAACGGAUAAAAGGUACUCCGGGGAUAACAGGCUGAUACCGCCCAAGAGUUCAUAUCGACGGCGGUGUUUGGCACCUCGAUGUCGGCUCAUCACAUCCUGGGGCUGAAGUAGGUCCCAAGGGUAUGGCUGUUCGCCAUUUAAAGUGGUACGCGAGCUGGGUUUAGAACGUCGUGAGACAGUUCGGUCCCUAUCUGCCGUGGGCGCUGGAGAACUGAGGGGGGCUGCUCCUAGUACGAGAGGACCGGAGUGGACGCAUCACUGGUGUUCGGGUUGUCAUGCCAAUGGCACUGCCCGGUAGCUAAAUGCGGAAGAGAUAAGUGCUGAAAGCAUCUAAGCACGAAACUUGCCCCGAGAUGAGUUCUCCCUGAGACUUAGAGUCUCCUGAAGGAACGUUGAAGACGACGACGUUGAUAGGCCGGGUGUGUAAGCGCAGCGAUGCGUUGAGCUAACCGGUACUAAUGAACCGUGAGGCUUAACCUU
rnacentral:rRNA from 1 species